rnacentral:rRNA from 1 species
CAGAGGUCCCAAGCGUUGUUCGGAUUCACUGGGCGUAAAGGGUGCGUAGGUGGUCAGGUAAGUCUGAUGUGAAAUCUCUGAGCUCAACUCAGAAAUGGCAUUGGAUACUAUCUGGCUAGAGGGUCGGAGGGGGGACUGGAAUUCUCGGUGUAGCAGUGAAAUGCGUAGAUAUCGAGAGGAACACCAGUGGCGAAGGCGAGUCCCUGGACGACUCCUGACACUGAGGCACGAAAGCUAGGGGAGCAAACAGGAUUAGAUACCCUGGUAGUCCUAGCUGUAAACGGUGCACAUUUGCUGUAAGAGGAAUCGACCCCUUUUGUGGCGAAGCUAACGCGUUAAAUGUGCCGCCUGGGAAGUACGGUCGCAAGAUUA